rnacentral:rRNA from 1 species
UCCCUACGGGGGGCAGCAGGCGCGAAAACUUUACAAUGCGGGAAACCGUGAUAAGGGGACACCGAGUGCUAGCAUCAUAUGCUGGCUGUCCAGGUGUGUAAAAUACACCUGUAGCAAGGGCCGGGCAAGACCGGUGCCAGCCGCCGCGGUAACACCGGCGGCCCGAGUGGUGAUCGUGAUUAUUGGGUCUAAAGGGUCCGUAGCCGGUUUGGUCAGUCCU